rnacentral:rRNA from 1 species
ACGCCGCGUGAGGGAUGACGGCCUUCGGGUUGUAAACCUCUUUCAGCAGGGAAGAAGCGAAAGUGACGGUACCUGCAGAAGAAGCGCCGGCUAACUACGUGCCAGCAGCCGCGGUAAUACGUAGGGCGCAAGCGUUGUCCGGAAUUAUUGGGCGUAAAGAGCUCGUAGGCGGCCAGUCACGUCGGAUGUGAAAGCCCGAGGCUUAACCUCGGGUCUGCAUUCGAUACGGGCUGGCUAGAGUGUGGUAGGGGAGAUCGGAAUUCCUGGUGUAGCGGUGAAAUGCGCAGAUAUCAGGAGGAACACCGGUGGCGAAGGCGGAUCUCUGGGCCAUUACUGACGCUGAGGAGCGAAAGCGUGGGGAGCGAACAGGAUUAGAUACCCUGGUAGUCCACGCCGUAAACGUUGGGAACUAGGUGUUGGCGACAUUCCACGUCGUCGGUGCCGCAGCUAACGCAUUAAGUUCCCCGCCUGGGGAGUACGGCCGCAAGGCUAAA